UACAGAGGGUGCAAGCGUUAAUCGGAAUUACUGGGCGUAAAGCGUGCGUAGGUGGAUAUUUAAGUCGAAUGUGAAAGCCCCGGGCUUAACCUGGGAACUGCAUCCGAUACUGGAUAUCUAGAGUAUGGUAGAGGAAAGUGGAAUUCCCGGUGUAGCGGUGAAAUGCGUAGAUAUCGGGAGGAACAUCAAUGGCGAAGGCAACUUUCUGGACUAAUACUGACACUGAGGUACGAAAGCGUGGGGAGCAAACAGG
rnacentral:rRNA from 1 species